rnacentral:rRNA from 1 species
CAGCAGCCGCGGGAAUACGUAGGUGGCAAGCGUUGUCCGGAAUUAUUGGGCGUAAAGGGCUCGCAGGCGGUUUCUUAAGUCUGAUGUGAAAGCCCCCGGCUCAACCGGGGAGAGUCAUUGGAAACUGGGAAACUUGAGUGCAGAAGAGGAGAGUGGAAUUCCACGUGUAGCGGUGAAAUGCGUAGAGAUGUGGAGGAACACCAGUGGCGAAGGCGACUCUCUGGUCUGUAACUGACGCUGAGGAGCGAAAGCGUGGGGAGCGAACAGGAUUAGAUACCCCCGUAGUCCCUGUCUCUUAUAC